UACGUAGGGUGCGAGCGUUGUCCGGAAUUAUUGGGCGUAAAGAGCUCGUAGGCGGUCUGUCGCGUCGAUCGUGAAAACUUGGGGCUUAACCCUGAGCUUGCGGUCGAUACGGGCAUGACUGGAGUUCGGCAGGGGAGACUGGAAUUCCUGGUGUAGCGGUGAAAUUCGUAGAUAUCGGGAGGAACACCAGUGGCGAAGGCGGCGAUCUGGGAAGAUACUGACGCUGAGGUGCGAAAGCGUGGGGAGCAAACAGG
rnacentral:rRNA from 1 species